rnacentral:rRNA from 1 species
GAUAAACGCCAGCGGCAGGCUUAACACGUGCAAGUCGAGGGGCAGCAUAGAUUGUAGCAAUACAAUUGGUGGCGACCGGCGCACGGGUGCUUAACGCGUAUGCAACCUACCCGUCACAGGGGGAUAAUCCGGAGAAAUCUGGUCUAAUACCCCAUAACAUAUGGAUCGGCAUCGGUUCAUGUUGAAAUUUUCGGAGGUGACGGAUGGGCAUGCGUAGCAUUAGCUUGUUGGUGAGGUAACGGCUCACCAAGGCGACGAUGCUUAGGGGGACUGAGAGGUUUUCCCCCCACACUGGUACUGAGACACGGACCAGACUCCUACGGGAGGCAGCAGUGAGGAAUAUUGGUCAAUGGGCGCAAGCCUGAACCAGCCAUGCCGCGUGCAGGAUGACGGCUCUAUGAGUUGUAAACUGCUUUUGUACGAGGGUAAAGUGGGUUACGUGUAACCUUUUGAAAGUAUCGUACGAAUAAGGAUCGGCUAACUCCGUGCCAGCAGCCGCCGUAA